CAGUCGCCACGGUAAUACAGAGGGUGCGAGCGUUAAUCGGAUUUACUGGGCGUAAAGCGUGCGUAGGCGGCUUCUUAAGUCGGAUGUGAAAUCCCUGAGCUUAACUUAGGAAUUGCAUUCGAUACUGGGAAGCUAGAGUAUGGGAGAGGAUGGUAGAAUUCCAGGUGUAGCGGUGAAAUGCGUAGAGAUCUGGAGGAAUACCGAUGGCGAAGGCAGCCAUCUGGCCUAAUACUGACGCUGAGGUACGAAAGCAUGGGGAGCAAACAGGAUUAGAUACCCGUGUAGUCCAUGUCUCUUAUCU
rnacentral:rRNA from 1 species